GGAGGGUUGGCAUGAGUGGCUGAUGGCGCCUCCUUGAUACGGAGGUAGACCCGCAAGGGUCUCGAGGGUUCGAAUCCCUCACCCUAUA
rnacentral:tRNA from 1 species